CUCUCUAACUCCUCCCACUGAGAUGACCCAUAGUACCCCAUUCCUUGCUGCAAUGUAAUUAUAUUUAAUUACAAGUGUGCCCCUGGUAGUCUUUAACUGAAGGGCACUGACUGGGUCACUGGUGAAGUUCCCCGCAGGAACUGAGUCAGACCCCAUCUCAGGGCCCUGCACAAGAUAGGUGCCUGCUCUAAGGCGUGGACCCUCGCCACAGCCCUGGCCCGUCUUGACGGGCGAGGGUUACUGUACUUGUCCCAACCGUACAGAUGAGAAAGCUGAGACUCAGGGCCAGCAACCCGGGUCCCAGCGGAGCGCCCGGCACACGCCGACACUUCAGCACCAGUGGCGGUGGCCACCACUGUGGGCGGAGAUGGCUGCGACGCGUGCGCAGAUCUCGAUCCCAAACUCCCUCCUGCCAGAAUCUGGACCCGAAUCCACCCAUUGCCCGUUUUCCGCUGCCGCUGGAGAGAAUCUCUGAGGUCCCCAGGAGAGCCUGCCUGCACGGAAGAGACGCCUCCUCGGCAGCAGUAGGGCUUAUGGGAGCCAUUGUACAGUGACAGGAACAUACCAGGACACUGAGAAUAGCGUCAUGUCAUAAGGACUCAGAGCAGGUGGACCCUGCUGUGAUGCACAAAGAGGACCAUGCAAGAUAUGAUAAAGAUCUAUGUCACUGAAUUUUGUUUCUGUAUUUGUAUCUCAGCUUCCCAGAAAUAAAAAAGAAUUCUAACAUUCAUA
rnacentral:lncRNA from 1 species